rnacentral:lncRNA from 1 species
UUUAUUCAUGAGAGACACAGAGAGAGAGGCAGAGACACGGAAAGAGGGAGAAGCAGGCUCCCUGCAGGAGGGGGUAACGUGGGACUCGAUCCGGGAUCAUGACCUGAGCCUGAGCCAAAGGCAGAUGCUCAGCCGCUGAGCCACCCAGGUGUCCCAAGAGUAUUUUUUAAAACUUCAAUCAGAUGGUUUUCUAUAAGUGGAGGAGAAAGCAAGAUGGAAGAAACAUGGAUGAAAACUAAAUUUCCCUGAUUAUAUCUCCCAUGAUAGAUGGACUUCGAAACUAGGUAAAAAUUACAUAGUUAUGAAACAAACUAAAAACAAUAAAGGAAAUAAAAAGCAAAAUGCACCAAAUAAUACUAAACAAAUACCAAGUUGAGGGUUUAAUCACUAGAGUCGGAUUAUCUGAAGUUACUGUAAAACUUGGUAAUUUGUGUAGCUAGUGGGUUGGAGUCCCUAAAGAUAAAAGGGGGGCAAGUAAAAUUCAAAAUGUUUUCAGUUACCACUUUGUAAGCAAAAAUUGGAAUUGAUAUUUUGAUACAAAAACAGAGAUGCACAUUUACACACACAGGAAUGAUAAAGCAAGUAAGUGAUUUAAUUAUAUUGACGUGAUAUUCAGCACAAGAGAAAGAGAUACAGAUACCAAGUGAAAAACUUGAGCAAAAACCUUAUAAUCCUAGGGUGAAUUGGAAAUAUCAUGUAUUUUCUUUAAGAAAAAUGUUUCUUCCUAGCAUUGUCCACUGUAAAGUCCUAGAAACAAUGACCCACCCAGAAGCAACUAACACCUCUAGAACUUAGAUCUUGGUCUCAAUACUGUUUCUAUCAACAAAGAACCAGGACUACGUGGAUAAAUAGAGAAUUCCAGGCCAGGUAUGAGGCAGGAUAUGCAAAGUGAGUCUAUGACAUCUUGUCAUACUAGAAAUCUAGAAGGCUAUAAGUGGAUUUAAACCCAUCAUAUGUAUUUAAAAAGCUGUUAUUCCUGUAUGUUGACAAAUUGAACACCAAUAAAAAAUAAAUUUAUUUAAAAAAUAAUAAUAAAAUAAAAUAAAAAGCUGUUAGUCAAUGAUAUACUCAUAUAGGGGUGUGUGUGUGUGUGUGUGUGUGUACAUCUUUUGCAGGAUUCUACAAGAACUAUCAAAUUAUUUGAAAACAGGUAAAUAAUAAGAAUUAAGUGUUUAGCUCACUUCUGCACAAACCGUAUUUCAAAUAACAAAUAGUUGAUGAGGAAAAGCUUUUCUUUAUAGAAGCAUUCUAACUUCUAAAGAAAGAGGUAAUGGAAUGAUAAUGCUACUCCCUUGCAAUCCUUGAUGGCAACAGGCAAUUGUCAUCAACAGGCAGGUCUGCAAAGACCAUGAUGCAAUAAGUUAAUGGGGAGUUUUAUAAUAGAUGAAUCAAGCUUAGACUUAAAUUCACACAUAUGUGAAUUUGCAAAAAGAGCAACAACCGGUCAUUAUGAGCCUCCACAGAAAAAUCCACAUCAUCAGUAUUCUUGAAAAAUAAAAAUAAAAGCUGAGUUUGGUCAAGCCUCUAGAUCUGUCAAUUCACUCAAAAUACAGGGGACAGAAGAACAUGUUAACCAACACCAUGUAAUCAAAAAGUCCAAACUGUAAUAAAAAUCUACAAGACAAACAACGUGACUCAGUUAACAAUUCAACUUGAAUGAUAAAUUAAAACAAUUUAAGUGAUAAAUUAAAAACAGGAAACGAAGAUCUAUAAAUUCAAGAGAAUUAGAAGACUUAUCAACUCAACAUGACGGGAGGAUCUUUGGAUUCUGGAUCAAUCAAACUAAUUGUUCAUUAAAAAUGACACUACUGAUGCAAUUUUUAAAAAUUCUUAUUAAGUAUAAUUAACACGCAGUGUUAUAUUAGUUUCAGGUGUAAAAUGCAGUGAUUCAACAAUUCUAUGCAUUAUGCAGUGCUCAUCAUGAGGGUAUUCUUAAUCCCCUUCCCCUGUUUUCCCCACCCAACCACCUCCCUUCUGGUAACCAACAAUUUGUUCUCUGUAUUUAAAGGUCUGGUUUUUUAAAAAUCUUUUUCUCUUUGUUUAUUCAUUUGUUUUGUUUCUUAAAUUCCACGCAUGAGGGAAAUCAUACAGUGUUUGUCUUUCUCUUAGUUUAGCAUCAUACCAACUAGGUCUACCUACGUUGCUGCAAAUGGCAAAAAUCUCAUCCAUUUCUACGGCUGAGUCAUAUUCCACUCAUUCUUCUCCAUUCAUUCACCUAUGAAUGGACAUUGGGUAGUUUCCAUAUCUUGGCUAUUGUCAAUAAUGUCACAAUAAUAAACAUAGCGCUGCAUACAUCUUUUCAAAUUUGGUUUCCUUUGGGCAGCAAUCCAGUAGUGGAAUUACUGAAUCAUAUGGUAACUGUAUUUUUAAUUUUUUGAGAAGCAUCCAUACUGGUUUCCACAGUGGCUUCACCAAUUUGAAUUCCCACCAACAGUGAACAAAUGUUCCUUUUUCUUGAUGUCUUUGCCAUCACUUGUGAUUUCUUGUGUGUUUUUUUUAUUAUUAUUAUAGCCAUUUUGACAGGUGUAAGAUGAUAUCUCAUUGUGGUUUUGAUUUGCAUUUCCCUGAUGAUUAGUGAUGUUGAGCAUGUUUUCUUUCAUAUGUUGCCCAUUGUAUGCCUUCUUUAGAAAAAUGUCUAUUCAGAACUUCUGCCCAUUUUUAAAAUUAAAUUAUUUGGGUUUUUUUUUUUUUGAUGUUGAGUUGUACA